UGUGUUUCUUCACUCCUUUCACCAAUCCGGAUUUCUUCUUCUUUCUCUCUUUCUUCUUUCUCUCUCCCAUUGAAAGAGAAGGAAGAAGGAAGAAGAGGGCCUGUUCCAGGAGGAAAGAGACCAAGAAGCAAAG
rnacentral:ribozyme from 13 species